rnacentral:misc_RNA from 1 species
AAGUCGUAACAAGGUUUCCGUAGGUGAACCUGCGGAAGGAUCAUUACUGAGUGCGGGCUGCCUUCGGGCGCCCAACCUCCCACCCGUGACUACCUAACACUGUUGCUUCGGCGGGGAGCCCUCUCGGGGGCGAGCCGCCGGGGACUACUGAACUUCAUGCCUGAGAGUGAUGCAGUCUGAGUCUGAAUAUAAAAUCAGUCAAAACUUUCAACAAUGGAUCUCUUGGUUCCGGCAUCGAUGAAGAACGCAGCGAACUGCGAUAAGUAAUGUGAAUUGCAGAAUUCAGUGAAUCAUCGAGUCUUUGAACGCACAUUGCGCCCCCUGGCAUUCCGGGGGGCAUGCCUGUCCGAGCGUCAUUGCUGCCCAUCAAGCCCGGCUUGUGUGUUGGGUCGUCGUCCCCCCCGGGGGACGGGCCCGAAAGGCAGCGGCGGCACCGUGUCCGGUCCUCGAGCGUAUGGGGCUUUGUCACCCGCUCGAUUUAGGGCCGGCCGGGCGCCAGCCGACGUCCAACCAUUUUUCUUCAGGUUGACCUCGGAUCAGGUAGGGAUACCCGCUGAACUUAAGCAUAUCAAUAA